rnacentral:piRNA from 1 species
UAGAGUUAGUUUUCUUUAUGAUGAUGUAA